AGGCCCGGCGUACCGAGCGAAGCGCUCGUACCGCUGAGGGAGCGAGCGCUCGCUCCCCCAGCUCGGCAGUGGUAGCGGCCACCGGGCCUGCCUGGGCCGCGCGGGCCGGGCCGCACCAUUGGAGGGGCGGGGGGGGGCCGCGGCCUCGCGGCGCGUGGCGGCUCACGACCCUCAUGGCCCUUGUCCAUCAGGCCACCAUGGAGGCGGCAGAGGCACCGCGACUCCGCCGGCAGCGCCCGGACCCCGCCGGGACCGCGGAAACCCCGCCCCGCAGAAAGAUGACUUGAAGUAAAAAAGCUGAGAUUCCCACCUGCCUGGGACACUGCAGGACCAGGAGCAGCUGGGGAGGUGGCCCUGAUGGGAAGGUAGAGCCUGCAGGGCUGUGCUGAUGUCCCCCCUGAUGGGGCAGCUCUUCCCAAGUCCUGUGCAGGCACUGAGACAGCAGAGCAGGAGAAUCUGCUGGGUGGUGCUGCUGGAAACAUCUCUGAAGCAGAAGGACUCCAACAAAACACCUGGGCUUGAGGAUUUUGUGUAGACAGAACAUUUUUCUGCCUAUUACAAAGUGAGCAGGAGGAGGAGCUGUUACUUUUCCAACUCUCCUUCAUCUCAGAGAUGUGAGGCACAAAGGAGCUGCUGUUGGUGUCGUGCAAGAAAAGUGUCCCAGGAUCUGAGGACACUUCCUGCUGCUGAAAGACUGAAUUCUCAGGGGACAAAAGGAGCUCAAAUCAACCUCCAGCCAUGGGAAAUCCCUGAG